rnacentral:rRNA from 1 species
GUUAGGAAUAUUGGACAAUGGGCGCAAGCCUGAUCCAGCCAUGCCGCGUGAGUGAUGAAGGCCUUCGGGUUGUAAAGCUCUUUAGCCGAUGAUUAUAAUGACUGUAGUCGGAAAAUAAGCCCCGGCUAACUUCGUGCCAGCAGCCGCGGUAAUACGAAGGGGGCGAGCGUUAUUCGGAAUCACUGGGCGUAAAGCGUGCGUAGUCGGCUUUGCAAGUUGGGAGUGAAAGCCCAGGGCUCAACCCUGGAAUUGCUCUCAAAACUGCAAGGCUCGAAUUCGGGAGAGGAUAGCGGAAUUGUCAGUGUAGCAGUGAAAUGCGUAGAUAUUGACAGGAACACCAGUGGCGUAAGCGGCUAUCUGGACCGAUAUUGACGCUGAGGCACGAAAGCGUGGGGAUCAAACAGGAUUAGAAACCCCGGUAGUCC